GCGGGUAUGGUGGAACUGGUAGACACGAUUGCCUUAGGAGCAGUUGCCAUGCGUGGCGUGUAGGUUCGACUCCUACUAUCCGUAUCA
rnacentral:tRNA from 5 species